UAUGGNUCAACCAUAGUGUGCUCUGGAAACUNUCUGACUUGAGUGCAGAAGGGGAGAGUGGAAUUCCAUGNGUAGCGGUGAAAUGCGUAGAUAUAUGGAGGAACACCAGUGGCGAAAGCGGCUCUCUGGUCUGUCACUGACGCUGAGGCUCGAAAGCGUGGGUAGCGAACAGGAUUAGAUACCCUGGUAGUCCACGCCGUAAACGAUGAGUGCUAGGUGUUAGGCCCUUUCCGGGGCUUAGUGCCGGAGCUAACGCAAUAAGCACUCCGCCUGGGGAGUACGACCGCAAGGUUGAAACUCAAAGGAAUUGACGGGGGCCCGCACAAGCGGUGGAGCAUGUGGUUUAAUUCGAAGCAACGCGAAGAACCUUACCAGGUCUUGACAUCCCGAUGCUAUUCUUAGAGAUAGGAAGUUACUUCGGUACAUCGGAGACAGGUGGUGCAUGGUUGUCGUCAGCUCGUGUCGUGAGAUGUUGGGUUAAGUCCCGCAACGAGCGCAACCCUUAUUGUUAGUUGCCAUCAUUAAGUUGGGCACUCUAGCGAGACUGCCGGUAAUAAACCGGAGGAAGGUGGGGAUGACGUCAAAUCAUCAUGCCCCUUAUGACCUGGGCUACACACGUGCUACAAUGGUCGGUACAACGAGUUGCGAGCCGGUGACGGCAAGCUAAUCUCUGAAAGCCGAUCUCAGUUCGGAUUGGAGGCUGCAACUCGCCUCCAUGAAGUCGGAAUCGCUAGUAAUCGCGGAUCAGCACGCCGCGGUGAAUACGUUCCCGGGCCUUGUACACACCGCCCGUCACACCACGAGAGUUUGUAACACCCGAAGUCGGUGAGGUANCCUUUUAGGG
rnacentral:rRNA from 1 species